GCAGUCGAACGGAAAGGCCCUUCGGGGUACUCGAGUGGCGAACGGGUGAGUAACACGUGGGUGAUCUGCCCUGCACUUUGGGAUAAGCCUGGGAAACUGGGUCUAAUACCGAAUAUGACUGCGCACUUCCUGGUGUGUGGUGGAAAGCUUUUGCGGUGUGGGAUGGGCCCGCGGCCUAUCAGCUUGUUGGUGGGGUAAUGGCCUACCAAGGCGACGACGGGUAGCCGGCCUGAGAGGGUGACCGGCCACACUGGGACUGAGAUACGGCCCAGACUCCUACGGGAGGCAGCAGUGGGGAAUAUUGCACAAUGGGCGCAAGCCUGAUGCAGCGACGCCGCGUGAGGGAUGACGGCCUUCGGGUUGUAAACCUCUUUCAAUAGGGACGAAGCGCAAGUGACGGUACCUAUAGAAGAAGGACCGGCCAACUACGUGCCAGCAGCCGCGGUAAUACGUAGGGUCCGAGCGUUGUCCGGAAUUACUGGGCGUAAAGAGCUCGUAGGUGGUUUGUCGCGUUGUUCGUGAAAACUCACAACUCAAUUGUGGGCGUGCGGGCGAUACGGGCAGACUAGAGUACUGCAGGGGAGACUGGAAUUCCUGGUGUAGCGGUGGAAUGCGCAGAUAUCAGGAGGAACACCGGUGGCGAAGGCGGGUCUCUGGGCAGUAACUGACGCUGAGGAGCGAAAGCGUGGGGAGCGAACAGGAUUAGAUACCCUGGUAGUCCACGCCGUAAACGGUGGGUACUAGGGUGUGGGUUCCUUCCUUGGGAUCCGUGCCGUAGCUAACGCAUUAAGUACCC
rnacentral:rRNA from 1 species